rnacentral:tRNA from 2 species
GCCGAAGUGGUGGAAUUGGUAGACACGCCAUCUUGAGGGGGUGGUGGAUAAUAUCCGUGCCGGUUCGAUUCCGGCCUUCGGCACCA